rnacentral:rRNA from 1 species
AGAGUUUGAUCAUGGCUCAGAGCGAACGCUGGCGGCAGGCUUAACACAUGCAAGUCGAACGGGCGUAGCAAUACGUCAGUGGCAGACGGGUGAGUAACACGUGGGAACGUGCCUUUCGGUUCGGAACAACCCAGGGAAACUUGGGCUAAUACCGGAUACGCCCUUCGGGGGAAAGAUUCAUCGCCGAAAGAUCGGCCCGCGUCGGAUUAGCUUGUUGGUGGGGUAACGGCCUACCAAGGCGACGAUCCGUAGCUGGUCUGAGAGGAUGACCAGCCACACUGGGACUGAGACACGGCCCAGACUCCUACGGGAGGCAGCAGUGGGGAAUAUUGGACAAUGGGCGAAAGCCUGAUCCAGCCAUGCCGCGUGGGUGAAGAAGGCCCUAGGGUUGUAAACCCCUUUCAGCGGGGAAGAUAAUGACGGUACCCGCAGAAGAAGCCCCGGCUAACUCCGUGCCAGCAGCCGCGGUAAUACGGAGGGGGCUAGCGUUGUUCGGAAUUACUGGGCGUAAAGCGCGCGUAGGCGGAUCUGCAAGUCAGGGGUGAAAUCCCGAGGCUCAACCUCGGAACUGCCUUUGAUACUGCGGGUCUCGAGUCCGAGAGAGGUGAGUGGAAUUCCUAGUGUAGAGGUGAAAUUCGUAGAUAUUAGGAAGAACACCAGUGGCGAAGGCGGCUCACUGGCUCGGUACUGACGCUGAGGCGCGAAAGCGUGGGGAGCAAACAGGAUUAGAUACCCUAGUAGUCC